CACGCAGUAAACGAUGAUCACUAGCUGUUUGCGAUACACGGUAAGCGGCACAGCGAAAGCGUUAAGUGAUCCACCUGGGGAGUACGCCGGCAACGGUGAAACUCAAAGGAAUUGACGGGG
rnacentral:rRNA from 1 species